GUGCUCCCUUCAGCAGUAUAUAUACUAAAAUUGGAAUGAUACAUAGAUUAGCUUGGCCCCUGCACAAGAAUGACACACAAAUUCAUGAAGCAUUCCCUAUUUUA
ensembl:snRNA U6 U6 spliceosomal RNA